AAUGUACCAACAAGAGCCCUAAUGUUCUUCACUCCCAAAAACCUACUGUUGCCUUUCCUCUUCGAGUAAGGCUUCCAAAGGAGCUCUUCCAUGGCAGAAGCUCUGCCUCUCCUUUUCGGGUAAACAUUUAAUGCACAUUUGUCUCCUUCUUCACAAGGAAAUGGUAACAAUCUCCUCUCUCUUCCUUUUUCAUUGCUUUAGUACAACUUUCGGUAGAUUGGGGGGAUUCAAUAGGAUUUUCAUUUCACUCUACCAAUUUGAAUUUCAAAAUUUUCAAAUGCCAGGCAGUCCCAUAUCGCUGGAAAUUGCUAAAAACCCUAGAAUUGGCCCUUUAUAAAUAGGACUCAUUUCUCACUUCACAGGGAGAGUUUUUUUUAACAACCCAAAGUUCUGAAACUUUGGUUACUGCUUAAAACAAGAGUUUUCCUCAUCUAAGCCGAGUUCUCGAAGUAUCGGAACAAGUUAAAAAGUUUUCGAGUUCGAGUCAAUUCAUCAUCAUUGGUGAAAGGUGAUCGACUCAACUUUCGUCAUCCUCGUCGCUGCCACUGAAAAAUGGAAUUUUCAAAUCCCAAAGGCCCUCGAGAUGUUGCUGAAACUCGAGAUGAUUUCCUGCUGCACUUGAGGCUUAAGCUUGCUGCAUCCUUAGAGAAUUAUUUUGUUGUGCUAAGGCAUCAACAGAUGCUAUGUCCUGAGAAACUACCCUUGAGCUGCUAUUUUAUUUGAUGAGAACAUUUUACUGGACAAUUGCCACUUCGUCCGAGAUGAUGUUCUUUAAGCUACUUGGCUGCUUUGUCCGUGGUUGCAUAUGGUUAAAUCACUACUACUUUUGAGUAGGUUGAUUUGUUUGAGUUGUUUAUUUCUAACCUCGCUGUUGCCAUGAGAAAUGGCUUAAAAUGUUGCUACAUUUUUAGGCAGUUUACUGCAUGUUUAGAUAUGCUUUGAUGAUGUUUUCUAGUGAGAUUGAUGCUGCCUUUGGUGCCCCUUCCUGGGGUAAAACAGUUGCUGUUUCGGGAGUAUUUAAAAAGCUGAAAUAUUUCUGUAGUUUGAGUUAAAUUGCUGCUAUAUUUUAAGCUGAAUUGCUGGUGUAUUUUGAGCCAAUCGCUGCUGCAUUUUUGGGCAAACAAACACUGCGUUUGGGGCCACUUGCUGCUGUGUUUUCUUGGAACAAUUGCUGCUGCAUUUUUUAAGCUAAAUUGCUGUUGGAUUUACGGCGAAGUGUAGAGAAUAACUACUGUCUAAUUGGACAUUUUACUGAUUGAACAUGCUACUACAUUGGGCCAAUGAAAAAAUUACUUUUGAGGCCAUACUUUGUCCGGAAAGGUUAUCUCUCGGUUUAGGCAUUGAUGACCUCAUAGUAGUAUCACGAGGUAGGAACGAACAUGCGUUUGGCGAGGCAACUAGAAUGGUCAGUAGUCUGCAGCCAAGACAUGUUUCAGAUUCCUUUGCCAGAUUCGGAAACAUGAGUCUGAGCCUUCGUAAUCAAAGCCCUCAAAGUGUGAUACGAGUCCGAGGGAUAUUAUUUGUUUUCAUAAACGUCACCCUACGGGGUGGCGUAUCAUUUUGACUAACUACUUUUCUUUCUAUUUGUGCGAGGUAUAAAUAAAGCGAACCAUGUUUAGCGAAGCUUUAAGACGAAGUGAAGAAUUGGAUGUUAGAGCUUCAGACGAAAAAACUAGAAGAGCAUAGGCUUGCUAAAGGAUUUGGGCCCAAGGCCGAAAAGCUAAGCUUUCUUUCCCUUCCUUUUAUUAUAUGUUUACUUUGGUUUUUGUAUGAACAUGUAAAAAUACAUUUGUGUAGAUAUUGAAACCCUUAUAAGUUAGAACCUAGGAUUUACAUAAACAAUGUUUCGAUUUUGACCCGAAAGCUAGUUGAAUUGCAUUUAUUUAUUAAAAGUAAAUAAAUUAAAAAGUGUUUUCUUAUACAAAAAUUUAUUAUCUUUAAAGUAUAUUGCAUGAUUCGAAGAGUAUGAAAAAGGACUUUUUUUUUUUGGAACUUAUUGGACUUAAGGUAAUAUUCAAACCUUUGGGGCUCGAAACCCAAACCUUAAGGUAAAUAAAACAGAGAAAUAUACUUGAACUAUAGUUUUUGAGGAUUAAGAUGGCUUUGGAGUAGUAUAUGGUUGAAUAAUGAGCUUCAAUGGAUCAAUAAGUAACAAGCAAACUCUUUUCUUAACUUAUACGUGUCAAAAUCUGUAGUAUUCCUAUAGAGGAGAUAUACUCCAUUUAUUUUCUUAUAUAUAAUAAAUAAACUUAUAAGGAAUAAAUCAUGACAUUGGGACCAAAUGAGUAGAAACUCUACUUGAGAGAAAUCUUAAGUGUGUUUUGGUCCGGGAAUGAAAUGAGUUGAACCUCUUAUAACAUUUUUCAAAAAGAAAACUAACUUUCCCCUUUAAAGGAUGUUUUUGCCCCAAAAGUCGGAAUUUAUGAUUAGCAUGACAAGUUUUUGUAGAAAAGAAACAUUUUAGCAAAUAAUCACAUUAAUCACACAUUGAAGCUCAAAGGUCAACCGUAUUCUACGGAUCCUUAAUACUAGGGUGCUUAAAACCUUCCCCAGGGGAUCACCAGAACCCUUACCUCGAACUCUGGUUUAAAAAGGAUUUUUCUUUAUUUGAUAAAACCUUUUAAACUCGGUUUUCCUAGUUUACCAAUAAAUUAGGUGGCGACUCUAAAAAAUAUAUAAAAUCCAAUUAGAGCUCCAACAACCUCGUAGUAGCUUUUAUGCCUUAACCCCCGUAAAAGUGAACCGUAACAGAUGGCGACUCUGCUGGGGAUUUUUCUAGGUUUUAACCGUAAGGGUUUCAAUAUAAUGUAAUAUAAUUGUGAUUAUUUGCUUAUUUGUUUACUUUCUUGCAAAAUAUAAACUGUCAUGCAUUCAUAUCAUAAAUUCCGCCACUCCUGGCAAAAAGCAUGGUUUCAAAGGGGACACGCGGGCUCGCGGUCUAGCCUUCACUAAAAAACCCGAACACCCCUUCUUUGGAACACAUUGAACGUUAAGUUGGUAUACGGUCACCUAACGGCCGACAACGGUUCACCCCGAGUAGUCCGCUCGGGUCCAAGGUCAGUUCAAAACACCCACUCUUGCAUAAGCCUAGGGUAGAGCUAAAACAAAUCCAAAUAUGAAGUAGACCGGGUGGUUUGAAUAUUUUAGACGUAUCCAAACCCGAGAGAAAGACUACCCUAUGUCAAGUACGGUCUAUGACCCAAAGACACCGCAUCCAACUAUGUGAAAAAAUUGAAGGAUGUACAUGCUGUUAUAAGAACCAUUUGUUCUUGGGGUCGGGAAUUUUUCCUUUACUUUUUAGACUUCAUCCAAGAGGAGCUUGGAAAGUUCGAAAGACGAUGGAGGACCCCGUGGUAGCUUAGUUUAGGAUUUGUGCCCCUGCAUGAGACUGAAAUUUUGUACACCUGUCCCACAUGCAAGUCGAACGUUGUUUUCGGGGACAAACGGGACGUCUUAACGACAUCUACACCGAAUAGGCUUAACUUUGGCUUAAAAAGGUCACACGCAUGAUUAGGGCGCGAUAUAUAUUGUUUAUCUGCUAUGUGCUAUGCAAUGUGCAUUUUAUGCCUAUUUGAUUCAUGUGCUUAAAUACAUCUAUUUUUCCUUGGACAUGAACAGUCCAUUAUUCAGUUCCAAGUCUUAGAAUGUCAUUAAGCACACAAAACCUCAAAGUCAAACUAUUUCAAAGUCCACCUAAAAUCACCCAAACUCCCGAAACCUUACAUAAAACUCUAAAUGUACCAAAUAUUCCAAGAAAAUACCACCCAGUCAUCGCCAAUUAUCGUUGACCAUGUCGUUCCCAAAAAAUCACCUUACUACAUCCCAAUGGUUGCCAGAGUCGCACCCCAAGUCCCUGAAACUUUGUGUAAAAAUCCAAAUAUUCCAAGCUCUCCAGAAAAAACCGUUCGGUCAUCGCCCAAUUAUCGUUGACCAGGUCAUACUUAUAAAUCACUUUAUUGUGUCCAAUGGUCGUCAAAGUUACACCCUUACGCUUUGAAAGUUCUACAUGUCAUGUUUUCUAGAAAAAACCACCCGGUCAUCGCCAAUUAUCAUUAACCAAGUCAUUCCUAAAAUUCAUUUUUUCCAUCCGAUAAAUUGCGAAAGUUGCGCCCGUCAUAAAUUUAUGUUAGUGAACUCAAUCAACUUAGAGUGAAUCACAGCCCGUAAUUUUGUUACUCCAAAAAAGAUUUCCAAAAACAGAUCCAUGCUCGAGUACAAAUGCUCGAACCUUAACGUGUCCAUUUUGUUAAAGUCAGUCAAUGACCAAAAUCCUGUCCAUUCAGUUAGCUACUUAGGUCGUCUUUUAAAGUCUUCCGUUUUGGCCGAAUUCUGGACUAUUAUGUUUCAGGCAAAACAAAUGUUACUUGCUUUAUUAUGACCAGUGGACUAAUGCUGUUACUUUUUGAUUUUUCUUUCUUUAUGAUUGACUCGUGGGGACCACCAAAGGUUUCUUUUACGAAACUCAAGUCACAGUCUUUUUUAGCCCACCUAGGCGCUACGCUUAAAAAAAGAGUUUUCUAUCCGUGUUCAAACAUCAAAAUGACCCAAUCAAGCAAACAGCUCCUUGCUUUUACGAAAAUCCAAGAAAAAAGGAACGCACUUUAAGUGACGUCCCUAAAUUGGCCAUUCAGCCCUCGACUCACACAACACUUGUCCCAGGGUUUAUAUUCCAGUUACCACCCGUCUGUCAUGACACAUUUAGUGGGAUCAACACGAGUCAAUCAUUUUUCUACUAAAGAAAUCUUUCUGUGAGCACAGGAACAAAAAGGAUACAAGGCAACGAGCCCCAAACCGGCGUCAAGAUCACAGAUCUUGAUCAAAGGCGCUAUUCAGGCCCACCACAGCCUCAUUUUGAUAAGCCAAUUGGCUUUAUCUCUAACUCCAUAUUCAAUUUUAUUCCUCUCACUUCAUUCUGUCUACUGACACUUGUUCUUGGAAUAUUACAGGUGAUGUAUAAGUUGAUAUCAGGAAUCAAGACUAUAAGGAGUCGCACGUCAACAAGCAAGCGCUUGAUAUAUCAAUCAAGCACGAAGAUACCGCUCAAACGUGCUAAAGAAUAGCACAACAAGACUAAGUGUCAAAGAUCAACGGCAUCGCUGGCCAAUCAUGAUCAUCACAAAGUGGUCGGAGUGGACUUCAAGCCUCCAACGACGAGCAAAAUAUCAAAAGAAAGCCUAUUCGACGGCACAAGCCUAACGACGACAUAUUUAACUCUACUCUCAAUUCUAAGAAAUACUUUGUCACUGCCUUUGAAUGCUUCAACGAUUUAUAUUAUGAAUUUUUCAGAAAUCAACGUCAAGUCUUCAACGACUUUUUCUUCACCAACAAACUGAGACAGUAUGCUAAAGAGGAAUACCGAACUCCCCAACAAGUCCCCUUUUUUCAGAGAUCAAAAUGACAGCGUUCUCAAAGCAAUGAGGAAACUAUGUCCAUGUAAAGUCUUACUUAUGGAUGUGUCACCAGCCACAUUUAUAAUUAAGAGGUUGUAAGCCUCUUUUUCCUAUGCUCGAAGGACGGACAUCACUUAUCUGUAGUACACCAUUACCCUAUACCUCGAACUACGUUCGACCGAUUCCCAUCAUUACGGGAUAUGUAGGCGCUCUUUGAGCUCGGUCAUACCAAUAAAAAACCUAAGAAACCCCUAUGAAGCGUCCGAGAUAAGACUUCAAGGAAAAUUCAGAAUUGGCACAAAGAGAUUAUUGCCACACAUGCCCAAUAGGGGAAGAAUUUUUGAGAAGAUCUCAAAAAAUCCGUCACAAGUCCGGCCCAAGAGUCAGCCGAUUUAAGACCCCAAACUGGGGCAGAAUUUUUGAGAGGGUCUCAAAAUUUCUUACAGAAAUUCAACGCAAGAUUCAGCCGAUUCAAAACCCUCAACUGGGGCAGAAUUUUUGAGAAGGAUCUCAAAAAUUCCUUCACAAGACUCGACACGAGAGGUCGCCUACACAGUCUUAACAGAGGCGGAAUUUUUGAGAGGGUCUCAAGAAAUCCAAUUUAAGGUUCGACACAGGACGUCGUCGAUACAACUCAAAAAUAGGGCAACUUGUUAAAGCAGUUCAGGCGAUCUCUACUCAAACUUCAAGAUACCCAAUCAAACAUCAAUGUCUAAGUUCCAAACAACCUUUACCGGGAAAUAUAUCCUCCCUUUAGAGAUCUCCAAAUAGAGUAGGGACACACCUUAUGUGAUGUCCCGAAAUCGGCCAUUUUAGCCUCCAAUGUCAAAUCCACUUCUCAAAACACGAAGUUAACAAAAGCACUGACCAAAGACGGAGAUUGUCGCAUCGAACGACUUUAUACCCAACUUUAGAUUUCAUUCCUUACUAACUUCUACACAAGAAUAUUUGCAGGUAACAUCGACAAGCAUCAAGGCUAUCGAUCAAGCUGAAGGGAUGCUUGAUAUGCCGAAUUGUACAUCGAGAUUAUCAAGACAAAAGAAGUGAACAUCAAGUCAUCGACGACCUUUCUUUGACCUUAAAUGGGAGAAAUUUGUUGAAGAGGAAUACCAAACUCUCCACUAAAAGCAAAGAUCUACAGAGUAUGGUCAAAGGUCGCCAAAACAACGGAAAGCAUGGCCUACAUCUACAACGAGUAAAGGAUGCUCGACGGUUUUGCAUAUGCCAUUAACCUUUCUAUAAGGUCUUUCUUAAGUUUGUUUUUACUACGGUCGCUGGCAAAGCGACAACGUAUCUACUAAAAUUUUCUGUUAGUACAAGUCGUACGAAUAUCAGAAUGAACUUUGAUACGAUUCAAAAUACAAAGAGGCAUCAAGGUAAUUAUCAUGAGGCGCUGAGGAAUCACAAACCAUGUCGAACACAAAGUUUUGGGUAUCUCAAUUUAUGUUUUACCCAAAAAUGGGACUUUAUUCCUUGUUUCCCUGCAAGUGGGAUUCUUACGGGACACUAAUCACCAACGUGAAAUGCUACCCGGCAAAACGGUAUGCUAGCCACUAAGGUGAGACGCUAAUCGAUGAAAUAGAAUUCUAAUCACCAAGGUGAAACCCUAACGAAAAAAUGGGACGCUAGUCAUCAAAGUGAGAUGCUACCCAAAUGAAAAUGGAACAAUCAUUUAAACUGUUUUGUUGAUUUUUUAAAUUGGCUUAUCCACCUUUAAGACUUCGCAACUACUACGUUGCAUUUCUCUACUGAUAAGUUUAUUUUAGAUUUUUGCAGUAGUUUCAAAAUGUCGUAAGGGUGAUAAUAUCUAGCCACGAGGGCUACAAAAAGAUCAAAAUGCCGCAAGGGCAAAUAUCUAGCCACGAGGGCUAUAAAAUGAUCAAAACGCCAUAAGGGAGAAUAUCUAUCCACAAGGGAUACAAAAUGAGCGAAAACACCAUAAGGGCGAAUGUCCAGCCAAAAGGGCUAUAAAGGAAUCGAAACGCUGUAAGGGCAAAUAUCUUGCCAUUAGGGCUACGAAAGAUUAAAACACCAUAAGGGCAAAUAUCUAGCCACGAGGGCUACAAAAUGAGCGAAAACGCCAUAAGGGCGAAUGUCCAGCCAAAAGGGCUAUAAAGGAAUCGAAACGCUGUAAGGGCAAAUAUCUAGCCAUUAGGGCUACGAAAGAUUAAAACGCCAUAAGGGCAAAUAUCUAGCCACGAGGGCUACAAAAUGAGCGAAAACACCAUAAGGGCGAAUAUCCAGCCAAAAGGGCUAUAAAAGGAUCGAAACGCUGUAAGGGCAAAUAUCUAGCCACGAGGGCUUUGAAAGAUUAAAACGCCAUUAGGGCGAAUAUCUAGCCACGAGGGCUACAAAAUGUGCGACAACGCCAUAAGGGCGAAUAUCCAGCCAAAAGGGGUAUAAAAGGAUCGAAACGCCAUAAGGGAAAAUAUCUAGCCACGAGGGCUUUGAAAGAUUAAAACGCCAUUAGGGCGAAUAUCUAGCCACGAGGGUUAAAAAAUGUGCGACAAUGCCAUAAGGGCAAAUAUCUAGCCACAAGGGCUAUCAAAGGAUCGAAACGCCAUGAGGGCAAACACCUGGCCAUAAGGGCCCACAAAGAACAAAAGGCCAUAAUGGCAAAAUCAUCGGCCAAUGGGGUCAUAGUAAAACAACGCGGCAUACCUGACCAAGAGGGUCACAACCAACAUAAAUGACGAAAGAAAGAUCAUCCGGCCACAAGAGUCAUAUCUGUUAUCUCUACCAUGUUUCCUAUUGCUAAAAGGGCCAUUGCACGUUUACUUUCCUACUGCUAAGAGGGUCAUUCAUACAAACUGCCAAGAAGGCUAUUGCACGUUUAUUUUCCUGCUGCUGAAAUGGCCAUUGCACGUUUACUUUCCUGCUGCCAAUAGGGCCAUUGCACGUUUACUUUUCUGCUGCCAAGAGGGCCAUUCAUACAAACGGUCAAGAGGGCCAUUGCACAUUUACUUUCCUACUACCAAGAGGGCCAUGGCACGUUUACUUUCCUGCUGCCAAGAGAGCCAUUCAUACAAACUGCCAAGAGGGCCAUUCAUACAAACAUGUCAAGAGGGUCAUUCAUACAAACAGGCCAAGAGGGCCAUUCAUACAAACAUGCCAGGAGGGCCAUGCAUACAAACUACCGGAUAUAGCAAGAUGACAAAGCGAUGUAAAAUCGGUCAAGAGACCGCAAUAUUCGCUCAAAAAGUCAAAGCGAUGUAAAAUCGGUCAUGAGACCGCAGUAGUCGCCCAAAAAAGAUAAAGCGAUGUAAAACCGGUCAUGAGACCGCAAUAUUCGCCCAAAAAAAGACAAAGCGAUGUAAAAUCUAUCAUGAGACUGCAGUAUUCGCUUUAAAUGUCAGAACGAUGUACAUCCGAUCAGGUGGCCGCAAUAUUCGUUUUCAAAGUCAAUCACAGUGUUACCCCGCAAAUGGAAACAAGUUAGCAGCUGCCAAGGAGAAGAGCAGGCUGGCCAGAGCAGAACCAGAUGCAUGCGGAGCAAACGUGGAACUUUUUCUUAGCAGCGAACCGGGGCACAUUGCAGAAGAGAGGAGCAGACUCUUCGGGCGAGAGUUAAGGAUCACCUUUCCUACCAUCAAACUACACCCCUUUUGAAGGGAUGUAGGUGUUUCUUUCGUGUCAAAACCAAUCCCCAAAAAGGCAAAGGUCGCUAUCUUUGAGUUUCGCAUUCAGUGUAAUCUCUGAACCUACACUGAGGCACUACUGAUUUUCUUUCAAAUCUAGGUGACGACAUACUUAAGGUAUACAAAAUUAUGUCCGUGCAAGGACUUAAUUACGAGUGUGAAGCAUGCCACAUUCAUAGCUUAGAAAUUGCAAGCCUCUUUAUCGUAAUCAAAAGGUCUGAAGUCAUCUAUCUCAAACCAAAGGCUACUUCCGCAUAAGGAACGCCCUUUUCUACCGAUCGAGUCGAACUACAUAUGGCCUGAUCCCCGAGGGUAGGGGUAUGUAGGAGAACUCACUGUCAGAGCUCGGUCGUAAUCCAAACUCCCCCCAAUCAUGUCCCAAAAUCCAAGUCUUAUAAAUUCAGCACACAGGGGCAAAUUUUGAAAGUUUUCAAAAAAAUCAAGUCGAACUACAAGUGGCCUGAAUUCUCAUAUAUCCUGAGAUGUUUAGGAAACCCAACGCCAGGGUCUGGCCAUAAUUUUCAAAAAAUCACAUGAGCUUUUUCACUUAAGAAAUGAGAAGAGUUGGUGGGUCAAAAAUCGGAUUUUGUCAAAUUUCGUUGCCCAAGGAUGGCUUCGCCAUCGCUGUACAACGAAGGGCCAGCUGUUGACAUCCAAUUUUUGCCCACCAAAAAUUCAAAUUAACUAGCCAAGCUUCUUGAAUUCCAAAUAGAGUAAAAGAAUUGGUCAGAAAAUUAAAAAUACUUUCUAAAAUAGCUUUUGGUGAUAUUUUGCCAUUUCAUUGGCGACGUAAUUUUGGUGAUAUUACGUAUAAGUUUAAGUAUAAGUUAUGUCAAUUUUAUCGAUUUGAAUAUGAAGUUGCAUAAAAAAAUAAGUAUUUUAAUCAAGUACGUUGUUUUUUAUCAAAAGUAAUUACUAUAAUUUGUCCAUUAUUAGAAAAACAAGUAUUUUUACUUUGUUGAAGUCAAGAAGUUUAAUUUAUUAAUUGGAUAAUAAUUUCAUCUCAAUUUUAUUUCAAACUGGUUUUACGGAAUGGUUUUAACUGGAAAGGCAUGAGUUUAAUUUGGCUAUUUCGCUAAAGUUUUGGCUACAAUUGAAACAAAAGGUUAUGAAUUAAACCCAAUAUUUUUCUCUCUUUUUUAAGCCCAGAAAUCUUCGGCCUAGUCCAAUAACCAGGCGACUCGACCCGCGAGCCAUUUUUAUCUCAAAAAUAUCCCUCUUUCACUUCAUUGGAAUUACACAAAAAUGUGCCAACAAGAGACCUAACGUUCUUCACACCCAAAAACCAAUUGUUGCCUUUCGUCUUCGAGUAAGGCUUCCAAAGGAGCUCUUCCAUGGCAGAAGCUCUGCCUCUCCUUUUCGGGUAAACAUUUAAUGCACAUUUGUCUCCUUCUUCACAAGGAAACGAUAACAAUAUCCUCUCUCUUCCUUUUUCAUUGCUUUAGUACAACUUUCGGGAGAUUGGGGGGAUUCAAUAGGAUUUUCAUUUCACUCUACAAAUUUGAAUUUCAAAAUUUUCAAAUGCCCGGCAGUCCCAGAUCGCUAGAAAUUGCUAAAAACCCUAGAAUUGGCCCUCUAUAAAUAGGACUCAUUUCUCACUUCACAGGAAGAGUUUUUUUUUUCUCACUUCAUAGGAAGAGUUUUUUUUUAAACACCCGAAAGUUCUAAAACUUUGAUUACUGCUUAAAACAAGAGUUUUACCUCAUCUAAGCCGAGUUCUCGAUGUAUCGGAACAAGUUAAAGAGUUUUCGAGUUUGAGUCAAUUCGUCGUCAUUGGUGAAAGGUGAUCGACUCAACUUUCGUCGUCCUCUUUUCUGCCGCUGAAAAAAGAUUGUUUCAGGUAAUUGAUCGAAGCAUAUGUGGAAAUACGCGGUGCCUAUCUGGAAGGCCUCCUCCCAUUUCAUUUCGGGAUGGAGGUUGAGUCUUAGAAUGUAGUGGUAAUUCUGAAAUCAUUAGACGCUUUUGUAUUAGUCUAGACUAGGUCAUGGGAAGUUGGAUUGAGUCUGUAUUUGUUACAUCAUUGUAAUUUUAUUGAUUCUUGAGUUUAUUGAAUAUUUUAUGAAGUUUUCGCUGAAUUUAUAAGUAUGUAUUGAUUUAAA